UGGGGAAUAUUGCACAAUGGGCGAAAGCCUGAUGCAGCAACGCCGCGUGAGUGAUGAAGGCCUUCGGGUUGUAAAGCUCUGUCUUCUGGGACGAUAAUGACGGUACCAGAGGAGGAAGCCACGGCUAACUACGUGCCAGCAGCCGCGGUAAUACGUAGGUGGCAAGCGUUGUCCGGAUUUACUGGGUGUAAAGGGCGCGCAGGCGGGAUAAAAAGUCAGUGGUGAAAUCCUACAGCUUAACUGUAGAACUGCCUUUGAUACUUUUAUUCUUGAGUUCGGGAGAGAGAGACGGAAUUCCAGGUGUAGUGGUGAAAUACGUAGAUAUCUGGAAGAACACCAGUUGCGAAGGCGGUCUCUUGGUCCGAUAUUGACGCUGAGGCGCGAAAGCGUGGGGAGCAAACA
rnacentral:rRNA from 1 species